GCUUGGUGAAGUCAUUAGCCUAAAAUGCCAUUUCUUGGGACAGUUUUCUGGCAAACUGCAUAAAUAAGCAUGUCUAAUAUCAUUUUCUUGACAUAUAACUAAAGAAUCCUAUGGAACUUAGAUUUUUCCUUUUUGUGAAGGAUGAUUUUAUGAUAGAAUAAUGAUAUUCAUCUACGAUCUCGAUGAUCCCUGGUUCGUGAUGGUGGGAUAACCGUCGCAUUGUUCAACGUCUAAAAAUGCAUUCAAGGUUCAUUGGACAAAGUGGCAGUGAUCCAUUCCACAUAUCGAUGAUCAUCUAGAAUCUAGAUGAAUAGCAUUACUCUUUAUGAUACCCUUUUGAAAUGAGAUAUCAAUUCCCUUCGUUUAGAUGCUUCAAGUUCACGUGGUGAGAGCAGAACUGAUUCGCUUCGAGUCAUCUAUGGUAGUUUCAGCAAUUCAACACGCAGAGGAGAUUCUGGAAGUACCAUAUUCACCAUGGAAGAAAUUUGUAAGGCUACAAAAAACUUCUCUCGUAGCUUAAAAAUUGGAGAAGGUCGUUUUGGAACAGUCUACAAGGGUCGACUCAAAGAUGGAACUUUGGUUGCAGUUAAACGUGCUAAAAAGGUAGGACACUGACACAGUUACAGUCAUAUCAAUGAUAUGUUUUGUUUUAAGGCUCUUCUUUCUUUGCAGCAUGACAGGCCUUUGGUGGCAGACUUUCAAAGAGAGAUCCAAACCUUAGCACUGGUGGAACAUCUAAAUAUUGUAAAAUUUU
rnacentral:lncRNA from 1 species